CUACGAAUGGACUCAUUAAUGGUUGUGAAAAAAAAAUAAUUAAGUUCGAUUUGUACAAAUAUAAAUUAAAUUUAGCUAUUAAAAAAACACAGACAGAACAAUCGAUUAAUUAAAUCAAUAUACUAACAGAAACAAUUCACUUGCAAAUGGCUAAUCAAUGUCAACAUUUCAGUUCAAAAAAUUUUAUCCCCAUCCCUCUCUACUCUAAUGGUCAGCAGAGGGUCCCUCUCUAUUGUAGCCAGCCGCGAGGUGGCCUAGAAGUCGCUAAUAGAAUAUCAAUGAGACUUCGGUUGCUUCUCCAUGAGAGCUGGACUUGCAAGCUUUAGCAGUCUCAUCAAUAUAAGAGGACACCAAACCACCGUGGUUGAAAUUAAAGAAUAGAGUUGGCACUGUUGACAAGAAUCACGAAUUUACUAAGAGGAUGUUUACAACAAAUGACCAGAUCAGCAUUAAACAAUCAAUACAAGGAUCCCUACAGCAUUCUAGAUCAUUGCGGUAACAUUACCAUAUAUUAUGAACAACAAAAAGCUCAUACUUCGACUGCUACUUUAACAAUGUGUUGUUAGCAUUUCAUCUCAAGUGUAAAGGGAACCUAUUCAUCAAACAAAAUGGCGCUCUAUAUUUCCAAUCGUUUAGGCAGCUUCGCUACUGUAGAAGAUCCACAAAGGAGAUCCAUUGUACUUGAGCAGCCCAUACAAUAUCGCUACCAUAGCUACCAUAGUGUAUCACAAAUUAAAGAUUGUUGAAUUGGGUGAGAGGUUAAUGAAACCAAUCCUGAAUUCCCAGAAAGGAAUUACUGGAUGAAUUCUACUAGAAUGGGGAGUAAUUUUUGGCUUUGCAAAAAUAUCAAUUAUUUUCUGCUCAUUAAAAGAAUAGCUGCUAACCAUUUGCUGCAGUUAGUUUUUUAGGUAAAACAUAUUACUCCAGGUAAGAAGCAGGUACCUAAGGAAGGAAAAAUUGGUACUCAACCAAAUAUGAACAAUGUUUCAUCCUUGUGCAUGUCUUGGAGCACUUCCAUGCAAAUGUGAAGAUCUCAAAUGAGAGUCUUCCUGCAAGCUAUAACUGAAACUAGUUGGAGGUCGAAAAUCAAAUUGCCCCUACACAAAUUAGUAAAAAAUCAAGAAAUGUCAUCUGUAUCCAAAUUUACAUACAAACUUAUCUUUAUAUUAUAAAAUACCAUACCAUCCCAUUCAAGCUUUGCUGUGUCCCAUAAAAACCAUCAUGGCCUGGUGCUAUUGAAUUCAAUUGACCCAGGCCUUGCAUGGUUGGUUGAUUGACAUAGUAACCGUCAUGAGGAGGUUCCAUUAAAUUCAAUUGUACCUGCAAUUAUCACCAAAUUAAAACUGACAACAAUUGAAAUCACAUUACUUUUCAAGGAAGCGAAGGAACCGAAGGAACUGUAAUUCACAGUUCAUCAAAGACAAUAUUUAAUGGUAAAACUUAUAUAAAUUAGUCUAAAAUUAUCUUAUGUGUUUACCAGUCCUUGCACAUUCUGCUGUGCACCAUAAUAACCAUUAAGGGUAUCUGAGCCUAGAUUUUCCAUCUGCUGCAAGCUUUCUUGUGCUUCCACAAGCAUAAUCUCUGGAUCUGCUUGUACCUUCCUUUUCCUGAUUGGAUUUUUCUUCUUAAUAGACUUAGAAGGAUUUACUUGGUUUUCAUCUUCUGCUUCACAAUUGGUAAAGGAUUGGCCACCAGAUUCCACAGCACUGUUGUUUCUGUUAUUCACAUUCACACAAUUCUUCAGUGUCUCUACAAGUGUACGGAAAGCAAUAUUGUAGCUCUGUUCACAUAAUGAUCCUUCUUCACUCAUUUCAAUGGCUAGUUUGCACAAAUCAUUAUAACGUUGCACCCUUGUUUCUAUUCGUGCUUUUCCUUCAAACAGCUGUUGCCUGCUCUUAGCAUCUUUUGUCCACCUCUUCAAAAUAUAAUGAUUUGGGAUGCUUGAAAGACCACAGAUUUGGAGAACAAUCAAUGCAUGCCUACAAAGAAAUCCUUUGUAUUCAAACAAUCGGCAUAAACAAGACACUGCUGACUUACUUUGGUCCCAUGUCACCAGGAAAUACUCAUUCUUUUCACAGUCUUGAACUCUAAAUGUCACAUUUGUUCCAUCUUCAUUUUCCUUUUUGGGAUGGCAGCCAACUACACCUAACACCUCAACUUGAAAUUUCUUGAAUAUUGCAUGCGUGUAAACCAUUGACAUUUGCUUCUCCCAAGGAGAAGGAGAUUUUAAGGCAGGCUGUUUGUGAGAAGUAUCAAAAUCUGCUAUGGCCUCCUCUUCAUAUCUAUUUUGUAAAAUUAAUCCAUAUUGUUUCAUAAAUUCUUUAAGUGUGAUUUUCCUAUGAAUAUACUUAUCAAAGAAAGAGUUCACACUUUCAGAACGUUGAUUCGCAGCAAUUCCAGCUAGAAAAGUAUCCCCCAUGUAUGUAGGCACCCACUUUUUCCGAUCAUCAUAUAAUGACUGAAUCCAUGCAUCAUCUUGGAGUUCAAAUUGAGUGACCAUCGUCCACCACCUCAUAUCAAACUCUUCAUCUGUCCAUGAUUUAAAAACACACUUGUGGAAUUCUGGCAUAAAAUCAUCAUGCCGUUUGAUUACAUGAGAAAGAGUUUCUGGCAUCUUUUCCAAUAUAUGCCAAAUAGAAAAACAAUGACGGGUAUUUGGGAAGACUUCUUCAAUUGCUACCUUUAAGGUUUUGUCCAGAUCAGUGAUUAUAACUUUAGGGGCUUUCCCACCCAUUGCUCUAAGCCAUGUUUUCAAUAACCAAACAAAUGUCGACCUAGAGUCAUCCGCAACAAAUGCACAUCCAAGCAAAAUCAACUGACAAUGAUGAUUUACCCCAACAAAAGGAGCAAAUGGCAAUUUGUCAUGGUAUUUUACAUAGAAGGUAUCGAAAGAAACAACAUCAUUAAAGCUGAUGUAAUCAUUCCUACUUUUUGCAUCAACCCAGAACAAAUUUCUUAGACGCUGCUCUUCAUUCAAAUCUAUAGCAUAGAAGAAGUUUGGAUUCUCCUUCUUGAUUCGCUUGAAAUAUUCAAGUAAUGCUUGGGCAUCUCCCUCAUCAAGAGCCAAGUGGCCACCUUUCUCAAACUGAGUAUUAUUGUCACUUUGAACAAGUGAAACACUUUUACACCCACCAGACUGUCUCAACAUCUCAACAUAAACCUUUCUUGUUCGUUCACUGACAGCAUGCAAUAUGUCAAUAUUAUUCUUUUCAGCUAAUUUCACAUUCCGAUGAAUCCGAAAAUGAUAUGCUAGGGCUGGUAAAAGCUCGUGGUUAUGCUCCUUAACAAAUUCAUGAAUUAUCCACUUGCCAUCUGGUCUUCUCUUCACAUGCAUACUUGCUUUGCAAUCUGUCUUUUUCACACUUGAUCGUCGACUAUUGCUACCAUCAGAUUCUGGUGUAAUUCCAUAUCUGGAACAUGCAAAUUUGGCAUCUAUAAAUUCUUUUGAUUUCUUUGAACGUCUACUAUUUUUUAUUGAAGUGGUGAACCCCAUUGAUUUGGCAUAUUCUUGAUAAAAUGAGUAUGCUACCUCAUGUGAUUCAAAUUCCACGCCACUGCAUGGCUCCAAUUCCGUGGCCUCUUCAAACAAUGCAAAAGCCCUUUUAGGGAAAUCAACAACCCCACAAUCUCCAUUUUGUGCCUCAUCCACAACGUCAACCAUAUUUUCACCCCCUACAUCACCAACAGGCGCAUUUUCUUGAAGACUGACCAUAUCAUGAACUGCAUUCUGAUGCCUGCCUGUCAUUAUUAUCAUCUACUUCCAUGAAUAUAGUCCAUUCUUCGCGCAAAGAGUUUAUGAUGAAUCCGUGCAAUCGAAGAAAAAUUCUAGCCGAAGGGACGAAACAGAAUCCCUGCAAAGUAACAGAGAGAGGUUGAUUCUUUCUGCAGCAGAGAAAUUAAGACUAACGCGAUCAAAACAUUUUUUCUAUUGCGUUGUGCAAGCUUCAAUUGUCAUCUCUUGAAACCCUAGAGCGAGAAAGUGAAGGCGAGAAGACCUGUCAGUUUAGAGAGAGAAGUAACUUGUUUGGAUAAUUAAGGCGUUGUUUGUUUUGAGUAGAGUGACAGGGAAGGAAGAGAAAG
rnacentral:misc_RNA from 1 species